rnacentral:lncRNA from 1 species
ACGUCAGGAAACCCUAAGCACCUCCCGAAAGUGACUCGUUCCCGACUCGCUAAUCACACUGUCUACUUUAUUUCUGAAUAUGUCCGUUUCUUUAUUUGAGUUUUCUAUAAUUCAGUUAUUAGCAGAUUAGAGUUAUGCUAGUACCUCCCCUAAGUAGCUCGGGGUAAGCUAGCACCUCCCCUAAGUAGCUCGGGGUAAGCUAGCACCUCCCCUAAUGCCACUUACUUUAGUAGUGAAAUAGCCUAACCCAUACCUAGUGAUGUCACUGCUCUAGCUAUGGGUUUGAGGAUGUUACACAC